UGGGGAUUCAAGUCUGGCUUAGGUUUACCCUUUUCAGGAACAUCUCUUAGCAAUGCCUGAAUAUUACUCAGGUCUCUGUAAAGACCAAUGAGAAGAAUGGAACCGUGUUACCUGCAGCAUAAAUGAACACCUGGGCUGUUCGGGGCAGCGCCCUGUGGUUCAACUCUACAGCCAAACGCCAGGCAGGAGCCUGGUGCAGAGGCCGUCCUCUGACAGCCCGGGAAGGACGCGCUUCAGGGGCAUUCUGGGAAGACAAGCAGCGGGGUGGAAACUGGGGCGGCACAGGCGCCGUCCCUCACCCAGGCUCGUGGGUCUGCAUCAGCACUAAAGAGGAAACCAACUCUUA